AGAUAGAGGAGUGCUCGAAAGAGAGCCGUAACACAGGUGCUGCAUGGCUGUCGGUUCAGCUCGUGUCGUGAGAUGUUGGGUUAAGUCCCGCAACGAGCGCAACCCUUGUCAUUAGUUGCUACGAAAGGGCACUCUAAUGAGACUGCCGGUGACAAACCGGAGGAAGGUGGGGAUGACGUCAAGUCCUCAUGGCCCUUAUAGGUGGGGCUACACACGUCAUACAAUGGCUGGUACAAAGGGUUGCCAACCCGCGAGGGGGAGCCAAUCCCAUAAAGCCAGUCGUAGUCCGGAUCGCAGUCUGCAACUCGACUGCGUGAAGUCGGAAUCGCUAGUAAUCGUGGAUCAGCAUGUCACGGUGAAUACGUUCCCGGGUCUU
rnacentral:rRNA from 1 species